GGAAGUAAAAGUUGUAACAAGGCUUCCGUAGGUGAACCUGCGGAAGGAUCAUUAUUGUAUAACCGAGGUGCGAGGGCUGUCGCUGACCCGAAAGGUCGUGCACGCCCGAGUGCCCUCACACACAUCCAUCUCACCCCUAUGUGCACCACCGCGUGGGUCCCCCUUUGGCUUGUUCGGAGGGGGGCUUACGUUUUCACACAAACUUUGUAUGCAGUGUAGAAUGUAUUUUUUGUUUUUGCGAUCACGCAAUCAAUACAACUUUCAACAACGGAUCUCUUGGCUCUC
rnacentral:misc_RNA from 1 species